rnacentral:rRNA from 1 species
CGGCGCACGGGUGCGUAACGCGUAUACAAUCUGCCUUUCACAUAGGGAUAGCCCGAAGAAAUUUGGAUUAAUACCUAAUGGUAUAUAAGAGCGGCAUCGUUUUUAUAUUAAAGCUACGGUGGUGAAAGAUGAGUAUGCGUUCUAUUAGCUAGUUGGAGAGGUAACGGCUCCCCAAGGCGACGAUAGAUAGGGGUUCUGAGAGGGAUGUCCCCCACACUGGUACUGAGAUACGGACCAGACUCCUACGGGAGGCAGCAGUGAGGAAUAUUGGACAAUGGUCGGAAGACUGAUCCAGCCAUGCCGCGUGCAGGAUGAAGGUCCUAUGGAUUGUAAACUGCUUUUGUAAGGGAAGAAUAAGGAGUACGUGUACUUUGAUGACGGUACCUUACGAAUAAGCAUCGGCUAACUCCGUGCCAGCAGCCGCGGUAAUACGGAGGAUGCGAGCGUUAUCCGGAAUCAUUGGGUUUAAAGGGUCCGUAGGCGGGCUGAUAAGUCAGAGGUGAAAGCGCUUAGCUCAACUAAGCAACUGCCUUUGAAACUGUCAGUCUUGAAUGAUUGUGAAGUAGUUGGAAUGUGUAGUGUAGCGGUGAAAUGCUUAGAUAUUACACAGAACACCGAUAGCGAAGGCAUAUUACUAACAAUUUAUUGACGCUGAUGGACGAAAGCGUGGGGAGCGAACAGGAUUAGAUACCCUGGUAGUCCCCGCUGUAAACGAUGGAUACUAGCUGUUUGGAGCAAUCUGAGUGGCUAAGCGAAAGUGAUAAGUAUCCCACCU